rnacentral:rRNA from 1 species
AUUGAACGCUGGCGGUAGGCCUAACACAUGCAAGUCGAGCGGAUGCAGGGAGCUUGCUCCUGGAUUCAGCUGCCGACGGGUGAGUAAUUCCUAGGUACCUGCCUAUCUGCGUGUGCUAACGUCCGAACACGGGCGCUCAUACCCCAUUCGUCCUUACGGACUACGUGUGGGAUCAUCGGAUCUCCCGCCCUUAGAUGAGCCGAUGUCGGAUUAGCUAGUUGGCGGGGUAAAGGCCUACCAAGGCGACGAUCCGUAGCUGGUCUGAGAGGAUGAUCAGUCACACUGGAACUGAGACACGGUCCAGACUCCUACGGGAGGCAGCAGUGGGGAAUAUUGGACAAUGGGCGCAAGCCUGAUCCAGCCAUGCCGCGUGUGUGAAGAAGGUCUUCGGGUUGUAAAGCCCUUUUGGUGGGGAAGAAAAGCAGUAGGUUAAUACCUUGCUGUUUUGACGGUACCCAAAGAAUAAGCACCGGCUAACUUCGUG